rnacentral:sRNA from 1 species
GAUAGAGAAAGAAAUAGAAGUGAAAAGGGCAUUGUGGUCAUCUGAAGUUAUAAAUGACAGUGACUGAAACUCUGGCCCAGGAAGUGCUGACUUUUAACAUUCUUUGAGAAUGUCCUAAGAUGAUAGGAUGAAUAAAUGGUAUCUCACCAUCCAGGAACAGAGGAUAGAGGGGUUGGUUGUAGGGGACUUCUUACGCCACCAGCCCCUUCCCUGUGGACUGACCACACUUGGUGGUUUAGGUGUAAAUGCAGCCUCUUAGGUGUUUUCCAGCUGUUUUGUUGCCAUGGCAGUGUGUUUGUUAUGCCACUGUUUCCUUCUGGCCUCUCACAGCUCAGUUGCUAGUCUCUGUUUCAGGAUAGGGUAUUAACUAUCUGGGCAGCAGCAGCUAGUAGACUUUUUCCUCCAUCCAAGAGACUAAGCCAUUUAGUUCCCUAGUCUCCCAGCUACUGUAGAUGCUUACCUCUGCCUCUGAUAUUCGAUUCCUGGAAGUCUUAUUUUUCCAAGAGUUUGGUCUUCUCAGCUAUUUCCUAUAGAAGCAAAUUUCCUUUCACCAGGAAUGUGAGGUAUAGUCAGGUUCUCCUCUUCAGUUUCCCUCCAUUCAUCUCCUUUGAUACAGCUAGAAAGUUCUCAGCUCUUUCCCCAAGAAUCAUCAAAAGAGGGGAAAUCACAUAAAGACUGGGCAGAUGGUGGGUGCAGAUUUAGCCGAAGAGUUCAGAUCUUUGAGAAGGAGAUGCAUUCAUGACAACCAAGGUUAGAUGAUCUAUUGAGAUGGGCCUAUCCUUUGGGCCUCUUUCAGGAUAAGCUUUCAAGCAUUGCUUUUAGGGGAGGGGCCACUAUGAGUCUUAAGUCAUAAACAGGGAUAAAGGAAGGAAAUGAAGAUUGUAAAAGGAGAGGAGGUUAAUAGAGGUGUAUAUAGAGUAGGAACCCCAACAGUUAAGAUCCCAGGUACCCACCCCUAUGAAAUUUAUGCAUGAGCCCUUAAAGGAAGAGGGUGACCAGUGGAACUUAUGAAUGGGAAUAACUCCUCAUGACCACCUAGUAUUUCUCCACGAGGUUUUUUGCUGUUGGAGACUGACUCCUAGGUGGGAGCAGCUGCUAUGGUCAUUACUCAGCUUCAACCCAAGGACCCAGAUGCCUGGUUAUUGGUGAUCCUGCUUUAAGUCUUAGAUGAAUUAUUUGAUGUCUGUAAAACUGUACCUCCCUUUUAAACUUAAUUUUUAUCUUACAGCAGCAGCCAGUAAGGAGGAGAAGGGGAGAGAGCUCAUUCGAUAUUAACAACAUUGUCAUCCCAAUGUCUGUUGCUGCAACAACUCGCGUAGAGAAACUGCAAUACAAGGAAAUCCUUACUCCCAGCUGGCGGGAGGUUGAUCUUCAGUCUCUGAAGGGGAGUCCUGAUGAGGAGAAUGAGGAGAUUGAGGACCUAUCCGACGCAGCCUUCGCCGCCCUGCAUGCCAAAUGUGAGGAGAUGGAGAGGGCACGGUGGCUGUGGACCACGAGUGUGCCACCCCAGCGGCGGGGUAGCAGGUCCU